rnacentral:rRNA from 1 species
GACGAACGCUGGCGGCAUGCCUAACACAUGCAAGUCUAGGGUGUAGCAAUACACACUGGCGCACGGGUGAGUAACGCGUAGAUCAUCUGCCCCUAUCACCGACAUAACUCUUGGAAACGGGAGCUAAUAUCGGAUGAGGUGAGCAAUCAUCAAAGUUUCGACGGAUAGGGAUGAGUCUGCGUCUGAUUAGGUAGUUGGUGAGGUAAUGGCUCACCAAGCCUACGAUCAGUAGCUGGUCUGAGAGGACGAACAGCCACACUGGAACUGAGACACGGUCCAGACUCCUACGGGAGGCAGCAGUGAGGAAUAUUGGACAAUGGGAGCAAUCCUGGAUCCAGCAAUGCCGCGUGUGGGA